CAGGAGAGACCACUGAACAUGAGCAAUAUUGGUAUGUGUUGGUCCUUGGAUUAACUGACAAUGCAGGGUGACAUCAUCUCCAACGUAUCCAGUCACUUCAGUCCAGCUUUGUCGAGCCAAUUGUAGGAUUUGGGAUGUCUGCUCCUUGCGGCUGUUCAUCUUAUAGUCAAGCAUCACUGGGUAGAUGAGCUGGUUUGUUUCAAUUACAGCUUCAAAACAGACAUUACAACCUGGGCUGAAGUACAUUAUUUUUGUCUAUCAACUGUUACCAGUCAGGAUAACUGGUGGAAUCCUACCAGAAGCCAGAAAAAUCACUCGCUGUCUGACUGGUUGUGCUGAUCUGGAUCCUGGAGUUCACACUGGGAGGCUCACCAUCCGGUGGAUUCACUGGACCUUUUUCCAAUGACCUCAUAGCUCAAUAAAAGACCUGAUCCAGUCAUGUGAAACACCCUUAAUUUAGCUGGCACUAAUUUUGAUUUCAGCAGCUCUCCCUAACAUUCAUCUCACCAUUGAGAUAUUGGCCAAUUACUUCUGGAACAUUUUUUUUUUUUAACAACUUUUAUGAAGAUUUGCUUCAGUAACCAAGACAGUUUCUGCUGCUAAUUAAGAUAUCAUCGGCUUUUCUUUUUUUCCAGUUACUCGUGGCAACACGGCAUGUUAACGCACAACCUCCUGUAGAUCUUCAAAAUAAAAGCUCCUGCUAGUCACAGUAAGAAGUGUAAAACUUUUUUUUUUCCAACCAUCACUUAUUGUAACAAUAAAAUAA
ensembl:lncRNA